rnacentral:lncRNA from 1 species
GCGCCCCCAUGGGCGGUGCUGGCUUGGUACGCUAGCGCAGAUCUUACGGGGAGUCUUAGUGGGCGGUGCUGGCGUGAGGUACAGGAAGUUUUGGGACCCCCAGACUGGGUUCAUUUGUGUGGUGCUCAGGUCGUCGGUGGUCUUUUCUCCCUGUGCUUUUUUGGGUUCGCGUCUUGUGACCCACUUGUGGGUUUGUGUGACGCAGACGAGGGUACUCUGCUCCACUCUCUGCUGAUGGAACAGCACAGUCUUUGCAGAAGGCGAAGUACAGCUUCAGACACAGCGUCAGAAAACUCUUAUAGGAAAAACUUCAGUUAUGUUGCUUUCAGUUUACUGCCUGUUAAAUUUUUGCUUAAUAGAUCAUGAUCUUUGUGAAUUAAAUGAAUGCCCCUUGGAUCCUGGUGGCUACUUCAUUACUAAUGGAUCAGAAGGUAUAAUAGCAUUAUUAUUGUUUAAAUUACAAAAUUAAAUAAUUAAGAUUUAAAUUGUGAAAGUUAAAAAUAAAAAGUAAGGGAGUUCCCAUUGUAGCUCAAUGGUUAGCGAAUCCAACUCAGAACCAUGAGGUUUCGGGUUCGAUCCUGGCCUUGCUCAGUGGGUUAAGGAUCCGGCAUUGCCAUGAGCUGUGGUGUAGGUCGAGAUGCAACUUGGAUCCUGCGUUGCCAUGGCUGUGGCAUAGGCCGGCAGCCACAGCUCCAAAUGGACCCCUAGCCUGGGAACCUCCAUAUGCCACGGGUACGGCCAUAGAAAAGACAAAAAGAAAAAGUUUAAAAAAAUAUUAAGCUUCU